GGGAGACUAGUGACAGAGUGAGGGAAUGGGUGACUAGUGACAGAGUGAGGGGAUGACUGGUGACAGAGUGAGGGGGGGGUGACUGUCACUAGUCACCCCAUCCCUCUCUCUGUCACUAGUUACUCCCUCCCUAACUCUGUCACUGUGUCACCCGCUCCCUCCCUCUGUCACUAGUCACCCCCCUCCCUCACUCUGUCACUAAUCACCCCAUCCUUCUCUCUGUCACUAGUCACCCCAUCCCUCUCUCUGUCACUAGUCACCCCAUCCCUCUCUCUGUCACUAGUCACUCC